UGGUACGGCUAUGAGCCAUAUCAGUGCCGUAGGGAAACCGUUAAGUGUGCCGCCUGGGAAGUACGGUCGCAAGGCUAAAACUUAAAGGAAUUGGCGGGGGAGCACCACAAGGGGUGAAGCCUGCGGUUCAAUUGGACUCAACGCCGGGAAACUUACCAGGGGAGACAGCAGUAUGACGGUCAGGUUGACGACCUUACCCGACGAGCUGAGAGGAGGUGCAUGGCCGUCGCCAGUUCGUGCCGUGAGGUAUCCUGUUAAGUCAGNNNNNNNNNNGCAAUGGUAUGAACAAUGGGCUGUAACUCCGAAAGGAGAAACCAAUCCCGAAAUCAUAUCUCAGUUGGAAUUGUCGGCUGUAACCCGCCGACAUGAACGUGGAAUCCCUAGUAAUCGUGUGUCAUCAUCGCACGGUGAAUACGUCUCUGCUCCUUGCACACACCGCCCGUCGCUCCAUCCGAGUGUGCUAAAAAUGAGGUGCGGUCAAUCUGGUCGUAUCGAGUUUCUAGUAUGCGAGGAGGGAGAAGUCGUAACAAGGUAGCCGUAGGGGAACCUGCGGCUGGAUCACCUCCC
rnacentral:rRNA from 1 species